GAUGAAGAACGUAGCGAAAUGCGAUACGUAAUGUGAAUUGCAGAAUUCAGUGAAUCAUCGAAUCUUUGAACGCAUAUUGCGCUCUUUGGUAUUCCGAAGAGCAUGCUUGUUUGAGUAUCAGUAAACACCUCAAAGCUUUUGAUUUUUUUUUGAAAGCUUUGGACUUGAGCAAUCCCAACACCAAUCUUUUUUCAGAUCGGAGGCGGGUUGCUUGAAAUGCAGGUGCGGCUGGACAUUCUCCUGAGCUAAAAGCAUAUUCAUUUAGUCCCGUCAAACGGAUUAUUACUUUUGCUGCAGCUAACAUAAAGGGAGUUUGACCGUAUUGGCUGACUGAUGCAGGAUUUCACAAGGGUCGGCAACGAUCCUUGUUAAACUCGAUCUCAAAUCAAGUAAGACUACCCGCUGAACUUAAGCAUAUCAAUAAGCGGAGGA
rnacentral:misc_RNA from 1 species